rnacentral:siRNA from 1 species
GGCGAUGAAGUGUAUGAUCGG